AGACGUUCAGUUCGUUUCCCCUACAAAGGAAGAGGAGACCGGAGACGGGACGUUUGCUUUGUUGGCCGAACUCUUCGGCUGCUGGGGAUUUCCUUCAAACGCCAUUAACUUCUCACACUCAGCAGCCACUCGGGAGUUGGGAAACAAUCUCCUGGGGUUUGUGCUGGCGUGAUUAAGGAAAGAGGCCACUUACAGGCCUUUGUCUAAAGCCUCGCGCCGGUGGUGGCUGGGGUCAGGAAAGCUGGGAGGUUCAACUACGGGCGAGAAAAUUGGGGCACUUUCCACGUCUCUCCCGAAAAUAAAAGAAAGGAUGCCGGGCACGGCGGCUCACGCCUGUAAUCCCAGCACUUUGGGAGGCCGAGGCGGGCGGAUCACCUGAGGUCAGGAAUUCGACACCAGCCUGGGCAACACGGUAAAACCUCGUCUCUACUAAAAAUACAAAAAAUUAGCCGGGCGUGGUCGCGGGCGCCUGUAGUCCCAACUACUCGGGAGGCUGAGGCAGGAGAAUAGCUUGAACCCGGGAGGAGGAGGUUGUAGUGAGCCGAGAUCGUGCCACUACACUCCAGCCUGGGCGACAGAGUGAGACUCUGGCUCAAUAAAUAAAUAAAUAAAUAAGUAAAAUAGUUGAUGUUAU
rnacentral:lncRNA from 1 species